rnacentral:rRNA from 1 species
UGAAUACGAGAUGCUACGGCGUCGAAGCAGUGUAUGUCAGACUUCCAAGAAAAGCUCGCAAUGUCAUAAAUAAAGAAUGCCUGUACCAUAACCGACACAGGUGGGUAGGUAGAGUAUACUAAGGGGCGCGAGAUAACUCUCUCUAAGGAACUCGGCAAAAUAACUCCGUAACUUCGGGAGAAGGAGUGCCUUCUUUAAGAAGGUUGCAAUAACAAGAUCCAAGCAACUGUUUAUCAAAAACACAGGUCUCCGCUAAGUCGUAAGACGAUGUAUGGGGGCUGACGCCUGCCCAGUGCCAGAAGGUUAAAGAAGCUGGUUAGCAAUAGCGAAGCUGGUGACUGAAGCCCUGGUGAACGGCGGCCGUAACAAUAACGGUCCUAAGGUAGCGAAAUUCCUUGUCGGGUAAGUUCCGACCCGCACGAAAGGCGUAAUGAUUUGGAUACUGUCUCGGAGAGGGACUCGGUGAAAUAGACUUGUCUGUGAAGAUGCGGACUACCUGCACCAGGACAGAAAGACCCUAUGAAGCUUUACUGUAACCUGAAAUUGAAAUUGGACUUUAUUUGCGCAGUAUAGGUGGGAGGCGUUGAAAGUAAUCUUGCGGGAUUAGUGGAGCCAUCAGUGAGAUACCACUCCUAUAAUGUUAGAUUUCUAACUUUGGAUCAUGAUCUGGUCAAAGAACAGUUUCAGGCGGGCAGUUUGACUGGGGCGGUCGCCUCCCAAAUGGUAACGGAGGCGUACAAAGGUUUCCUCUGAACGGGUAGAAAUCGUAUCUAGAGUGUAAAGGCAUAAGGAAGCUUGACUAUGAGACCUACAAGUCGAGCAGGGACGAAAGUCGGUCUUAGUGAUCUGACGGUGCUGAGUGGAAAGGCCGUCACUCAACGGAUAAAAGUUACUCUAGGAUAACAGGCUGAUCUCCCCCAAGAGUUCACAUCGACGGGGAGGUUUGGCACCUUGAUGUCGGCUCAUCGCAUCCUGGGGCGGUAGUACGUCCCAAGGGUUGGGCUGUUCGCCCAUGAAAGCGGUACGCGAGCUGGGUUCAGAACGUCGUGAGACAGUUCGGUCCAUAUCCGGUGUAGGCGUUAGAAUAUUGAGAGGAGCCUUCUCUAGUACGAGAGGACCGAGAAGGACAUACCUCUGGUGUACCAGUUAUCGUGCCAACGGUAAACGCUGGGUAGCUAUGUAUGGAGAGGAUAACCGCUGAAAGCAUCUAAGUGGGAAGCCCACCUCAAGAUGAGUAUUCUCAUC